GAUGAAGAACGUAGCGAAAUGCGAUAAGUAAAGUGAAUUGCAGAAUUCAGUGAAUCAUCGAAUCUUUGAACGCACCUUGCGCCCUUUGGCCAUUCCGAAGGGCAUGCCUGUUUGAGUAUCAUGAACACCUCAACUCUUUAUGGUUUUCCAUGAUGAGCUUGGACUCUGGGGGUUUUGCUGGCUCACAGUCGGCUCCUCUAAAAUGAAUCAGCUUACCAGUGUUUGGUGGGUAUCAUGGGUGUGAUAACUAUCUACGCUUGUGGUUUUUCCACCAGGUAACCUUCAGCAGUGGAGGUUCGCUGGAGCUCAUAGAUGUCUCUCCUCAGUGAGGACAGCCCUUUGAAUGUUUGAUCUCAAAUCAGGUAGGACUACCCGCUGAACUUAAGCAUAUCAAUAAGCGGAGGA
rnacentral:misc_RNA from 1 species